rnacentral:rRNA from 1 species
CAAUAGCGUAUAUUAAAGUUGUUGCAGUUAAAAGCUCGUAGUUGGAUUUCUGGCUGGAGCGAUCGGUCCGCCCGCAAGGGUGUGUACUAGCGUCGUCUCCGACCAUCCUUGUGGGAACUGUGCGGCCGUUAACUCGGUUGUAUAUGGGAACACAUCGUUUACUGUGAAAAAUUAGAGUGUUUAAAGCAGGCUUAAGCCGUUGAAUACAUUAGCAUGGAAUAAUAAGAUAAGACUUGGGUCAUUAUUUUGUUGGUUUGCGGAUCGAGGUAAUGAUUAAUAGGGAUAGUUGGGGUAUUCGUAUUUCGUUGUCAGAGGUGAAAUUCUUGGAAUUUCCGAAAGACGAACUACUGCGAAAGCAUUUACCAAGGAUGUUUUCAUUAAUUCAAGAACGAAAGUUAGGGGAGUCGAAGACGAUUAGAUACCA